GACGAACGCUGGCGGCGUGCCUAAUACAUGCAAGUCGAGCGAACAGACGAGGAGCUUGCUCCUCUGACGUUAGCGGCGGACGGGUGAGUAACACGUGGAUAACCUACCUCUAAGACUGGGAUAACUUCGGGAAACCGGAGCUAAUACCGGAUAAUAUAUUGAACCGUAUGGUUCAAUAGUGAAAGACGGUUUUGCUGUUACUUAUAGAUGGAUCCGCGCCGCAUUAGAUAGUUGGUAGGGUAAAGGCUUACCCAGGUAACUAUGCGUAGCCGACCUGAGAGGGUGAUAGGCCACACUGGAACUGAAACGCGGUCCAGACUCCUACGGGAGGCAGCAGUAGGGAAUCUUCCGCAGUGGGCGAAAGCUUGACGGAGCAACGCCGCGUGAGUGAUGAAGGUCUUCGGAUCGUAAAACUCUGUUAUUAGGGGAGAACAAAUGUGUAAGUAACUAUGCACGUCUUGACGGUACCUAAUCAGAAAGCCACGGCUAACUACGUG
rnacentral:rRNA from 1 species